UACGAAGGGGGCUAGCGUUGCUCGGAAUCACUGGGCGUAAAGCGCACGUAGGCGGCUUUUUAAGUCAGGGGUGAAAUCCUGGAGCUCAACUCCAGAACUGCCUUUGAUACUGGGAAGCUUGAGUCCGGGAGAGGUGAGUGGAACUCCGAGUGUAGAGGUGAAAUUCGUAGAUAUUCGGAAGAACACCGGUGGCGAAGGCGGCGACCUGGUCCUUGACUGACGCUGAGGCGCGAAAGCGUGGGGAGCAAACAGG
rnacentral:rRNA from 1 species